rnacentral:rRNA from 1 species
CAUUAAAAGAGAUAGGGUCUCACGGCCCGACCUCCAACCCUUUGUUGUUUAAAAAAACCUGUUGCUUUGGCGGGACCGUUCGUCCUCGUGACGGACUGUCGGUCUUCGGCCCGGCAAGCGCCCGUCAGAGUCCAACCAAACUCUUGAUAUAACCAGUCGUCUGAGAAUAAAGAUUUAAUCAAUUAAAACUUUCAACAACGGAUCUCUUGGUUCUGGCAUCGAUGAAGAACGCAGCGAAAUGCGAUAAGUAAUGUGAAUUGCAGAAUUCAGUGAAUCAUCGAAUCUUUGAACGCACAUUGCGCCCCCUGGUAUUCCGGGGGGCAUGCCUGUUCGAGCGUCAUUACACCACUCAAGCUAUGCUUGGUAUUAGGCCNUCGCCCCUGUCAAAGGGGGCGUGCCUCAAACACCUCGGCGAAGUCUCAUCGGCUUUGGGCGCAGUAGAAUUUACUCNAAACGCUCGCGGAGUCUGGUGGAACUUUUGCCGCAAAACCGCGUCGAAAGACACAUUUUUAAAGGUUGAC